GGCAGCAGGCUCCGCUGCAUAAUUCAACUGGUUUAAGGGUUUUCCACCAUUUCAUUUUCCACAGUGAGAGAGUGAGAGUCAGUCCUGAGAUCCUUGUGGCUCGUUUUAAAUCAUUUGGCUGGCUGGCUGCCGUAGUUUUUGGCCAUUUUGUGGGCCAAUCAAUAGGUGUGGCCGUUGAUGUUUAUUGGAUGGAUACGAGUAUUCCGUAGUUGUGCUUGCUCAACAUAUCCUAGUUCUAGUCCCAGUUUUUGUGGGCAAUUUUGAUAUUUAUGGCUGCUUUCGUAUCGAGAGUUGAAGAUUUAGUUUGAUGAUGGCGAAUGUUUAGAUUGGUUUAUGCUUCACUUAUUGGUUUCGAAAGAGAUAAAGAUGUGGGGUUUUUUGGGCUGUUUACUUAAACAUAUCAAAGCUAUUUAAAUCACAGAAAAGUGUAUGUCAUUUGGAAGAAAAUUUAGGCAAAUAAUUG
rnacentral:lncRNA from 1 species